UUGAAAACAGGUUGAAGCGUGUAGUCUAACAUUUUGUAUACUCUUUGGUCCCCAAGUCCCAACCAUGAAAAAUACGCACAGAUGUAAGUUUGUUCAGUCACCGGAAGCAAUGCUCCAGUCACAAGAGCAUGAAUCAUUCGAUUUCAAAACUCGCUUCAUCGGUGUACCUCAAAAAAAACAACUGCUUUUACAGUGCAUUGAUCUUAUACCAGUUUUGUAUGGCUAGAGAUGGAGAUGGCUAACUUUGAUAAAUUGGUGCCAACGCAUCAGUUGAUACAUUGGGAAGUAAGGCAUAGCCACAAAUGACCGAGUCCUUGUACAUCAACUUUCCAACAAAAGGAAUAAAGCAAACAUUGUCAGCGCCUUUUCAUCAAAUGAGCCGACAUAUGAGUCACUGAUAAGUUGAAUAACAUGAGUCCAGUCCAGUGUAGAUACUUGGGAGGUCAACAGGGUCCCAGUUUCCAUGUUUUGUAGGCUGAGAAGCACCGAGUAACAGUAUGCAGUAGCUAACUGAUGAAACUUAUAAAUAUACCAUCACACCUAAGCACUGGCUUAUCUUCAAAACUCCUGCAUGGACAAAAAUAAUUACACUGAACACUGUAAAAAAAGACAGUAUGACUACAGAGUUUCAUAUUGACAAUGUUUGGAACACGUGUUGCUCCAAGUUCAUUGCAACGCAACACAAAGGUGAAAAAUACGGUACUAGAUACCUUUUGAAUGUCUGGUGUCAGGCUGUCAGCAAACUCCUCUCAAGUUGCCGUCUCCAAUCACGUCUAAGUGCAAGAGAUGAUGCCGGGACCAUUCCGCCUAGCAAUCACGACCUCAGCGACUCGAACGGUCGAACCCAACCGACCCCGGACUUGCCGAUUCUCUUUCAUAACCUUCGCCUGCCCCCGGCACUAUAGAUGUCCAUUCGGGCCGCCCGGCCCGAUCCGGCACGGGCCCGGUGAGGCCCGUUAAAUUUCGUGCCGGGCCUGGCCCGUCACGACGACUUUGUCGUGCCGUGCCGUGCUGGCCCACGGGCCUCACCGACGGCCCAAGC
rnacentral:lncRNA from 1 species